rnacentral:rRNA from 1 species
AACCGUCUCUUCGAGUGGCCGACGCGAUUAUUGGGCCUAAAGCGUCCGUAGGCGGACUAGUUCGUCCCACAUUAAAGACGGCAACUUAAUUGUCUGAAGUGUGUGGGAAACUGCUAGUCUUGGCAAUGGGAGAGGUAAGCCGUACGGCAGGAGUAAGGGUGAAAUCUUAUAAUCCCUGUCGGACGACCGAUGGCGAAGGCAGCUUACUGGAACAUGUGCGACGCUGAUGGACGAAAGCCAGGGGAGUGAGUCGGAUUAGAUACCCGAGUAAUCCUGGCCGUAAACGAUGCGGAUUAAGUGUUGGAUGGUCAUGAGGCCAUUCAGUGCCGAAGCGAAGGCGUUAAAUCCGCCGCCUGGGAAGUACGAGCGCAAGCUUGAAACUUAAAGAAAUUGGCGGGAGAGCGCCACAACCGGUGGAGCCUGCGGCUU